UCUUGGAAGUAAAAAGAGGAAUCUACCGGAGUACUAUGAAUCAAAAAUUUAAAACUCAAAGGGCUUGGCGGUACUUUAGACCUCUUAGGGGAACCUGUCUCAUAAUCGACAAUCCACGUUAUACCUAACCUCUUCUUGCAUACAAUUUGUAUACCGUCGUCGUCAGGUAACUUUUAAAAACUCUAUAGUUAGCAGAUAAACUUCAAUAAGUUUAAACGUCAGAUCAAGGUGCAAUUAAUGAAAAGGUCGGGAUGGGUUACAAUUAUAUGUUAAUAGUAAUACGGAAAAUUGGCUGAAAUACCAUUUUAAAAGGAGGACUUGAAAGUAAAAACAUUUAUAUAUAUGGAUUGAAUAAGGCUCUGAAGCGUGC
rnacentral:rRNA from 1 species